UACAGAGGGUGCGAGCGUUAAUCGGAAUUACUGGGCGUAAAGCGUGCGUAGACGGCUAUCUAAGUCGGGUGUGAAAGCCCCGGGCUCAACCUGGGAAUUGCAUUCGAGACUGAAUAGCUAGGGUACGGUAGAGGGAAGCGGAAUUUCCGGUGUAGCGGUGAAAUGCGUAGAUAUCGGAAGGAACAUCAGUGGCGAAGGCGACUUCCUGGACCAAUACUGACGCUCAGGUGCGAAAGCGUGGGGAGCAAACAGG
rnacentral:rRNA from 1 species